UGCCAGCAGCCGCGGUAAUACGGAGGGGGUUAGCGUUGUUCGGAAUUACUGGGCGUAAAGCGCACGUAGGCGGACUAUUAAGUCAGGGGUGAAAUCCCGGAGCUCAACUCCGGAACUGCCUUUGAUACUGGAAGUCUUGAGUCCGAGAGAGGUGAGUGGAACUCCGAGUGUAGAGGUGAAAUUCGUAGAUAUUCGGAAGAACACCAGUGGCGAAGGCGGCUUUCUGGACCGAUACUGACGCUGAGACGCGAAAGCGUGGGGAGCAAACAGGAUUAGAUA
rnacentral:rRNA from 1 species